UUACGGCCAUAUCACAUUGAAAUAUCGGUUCCCGUAAGAUCAACGAAAUUAAUUGACGACGAGCCUGGUCAGUACUUAGAUGGGUGACCGCUUGGGUAUACCAGGUAAUGU